UGCUUUGCUCAGUGUCAGUAUCGUAACCAAUGAGGUUAAUCGGAGGCGCGAUUGUUGCUAAUUGAAAGCCUUUUUUUUGUUCUGGGCCCCCCAGUUUAGGAGGGACAUUGAGAUGCUUGAGCGUGUCCAGAGAAG